GACGAACGCUGUUGGCGUGCUUAACACAUGCAAGUCGAACGGAAAGGCCCUGCUUUUGUGGGGUGCUCGAGUGGCGAACGGGUGAGUAACACGUGAGUAACCUGCCCUUGACUUUGGGAUAACUUCAGGAAACUGGGGCUAAUACCGGAUAGGAGCUCCUGCUGCAUGGUGGGGGUUGGAAAGUUUCGGCGGUUGGGGAUGGACUCGCGGCUUAUCAGCUUGUUGGUGGGGUAGUGGCUUACCAAGGCUUUGACGGGUAGCCGGCCUGAGAGGGUGACCGGCCACAUUGGGACUGAGAUACGGCCCAGACUCCUACGGGAGGCAGCAGUGGGGAAUAUUGCACAAUGGGCGGAAGCCUGAUGCAGCAACGCCGCGUGCGGGAUGACGGCCUUCGGGUUGUAAACCGCUUUCGCCUGUGACGAAGCAUGAGUGACGGUAAUGGGUAAAGAAGCACCGGCUAACUACGUGCCAGCAUCCGCGGUGAUACGUAGGGUGCGAGCGUUGUCCGGAUUUAUUGGGCGUAAAGGGCUCGUAGGUGGUUGAUCGCGUCAGAAGUGUAAUCUUGGGGCUUAACCCUGAGCGUGCUUUCAAUACGGGUUGACUUGAGGAAAGGUAGGGGGAGAAUAGGAAUUCCCGGUGGAGGCGGUGGAAUGCGCAGAUAUCAGGAGGAACACCAGUGGGCGAAGGCGGUUCUUUGGGGCCUUCCCUGACGCCGAGGAGCGAAAGCGUGGGGAGCGAACAGGCUUAGAUACCCUGGUAGUCCACGCUGUAAACGGUGGGUACUAGGUGUGGGGUCUAUUCCACGGGUUCCGUGCCGUAGCUAACGCUUUAAAGUACCCCGCCUGGGGAGUACGGCCGCAAGGCUAAAACUCAAAGGAAUUGACGGGGCCCCGCACAAGCGGCGGAGCAUGCGGAUUAAUUCGAUGCAACGCGUAGAACCUUACCUGGGUUUGACAUGGAUCGGGAGUGCUCAGAGAUGGGUGUGCCUCUUUUGGGGUCGGUUCACAGGUGGUGCAUGGCUGUCGUCAGCUCGUGUCGUGAGAUGUUGGGUUAAGUCCCGCAACGAGCGCAACCCUUGUUCACUGUUGCCAGCACGUUAUGGUGGGGACUCAGUGGAGACCGCUGGGGUCAACUCGGAGGAAGGUGGGGAUGACGUCAAGUCAUCAUGCCCCUUAUGUCCAGGGCUUCACGCAUGCUACAAUGGCUGGUACAGAGAGUGGCGAGCCUGUGAGGGUGAGCGAAUCUCGGAAAGCCGGUCUCAGUUCGGAUUGGGGUCUGCAACUCGACCUCAUGAAGUCGGAGUCGCUAGUAAUCGCAGAUCAGCAACGCUGCGGUGAAUACGUUCCCGGGGCU
rnacentral:rRNA from 1 species